AGCAGCCGCCGCGGUAAUACGUAGGUCCCGAGCGUUGUCCGGAUUUAUUGGGCGUAAAGCGAGCGCAGGCGGUUUGAUAAGUCUGAAGUUAAAGGCUGUGGCUCAACCAUAGUUCGCUUUGGAAACUGUCAAACUUGAGUGCAGAAGGGGAGAGUGGAAUUCCAUGUGUAGCGGUGAAAUGCGUAGAUAUAUGGAGGAACACCGGUGGCGAAAGCGGCUCUCUGGUCUGUAACUGACGCUGAGGCUCGAAAGCGUGGGGAGCGAACAGGAUUAGAUACCCGAGUAGUCCCUGUCUCUUAUACA
rnacentral:rRNA from 1 species